rnacentral:rRNA from 1 species
GACGAACGCUGGCGGCGUGCCUAAUACAUGCAAGUCGAACGCACUCUCGUUUAGAUUGAAGGAGUUUGCUCCUGAUUGAUAAACAUUUGAGUGAGUGGCGGACGGGUGAGUAACACGUGGGUAACCUGCCCUAAAGUGGGGGAUAACAUUUGGAAACAGAUGCUAAUACCGCAUAAAACCUAACACCGCAUGGUGUAGGGUUGAAAGAUGGUUUCGGCUAUCACUUUAGGAUGGACCCGCGGUGCAUUAGUUAGUUGGUGAGGUAAAGGCUCACCAAGACCGUGAUGCAUAGCCGACCUGAGAGGGUAAUCGGCCACACUGGGACUGAGACACGGCCCAGACUCCUACGGAGGCAGCAGUAGGGAAUCUUCCACAAUGGACGAAAGUCUGAUGGAGCAACGCCGCGUGAGUGAAGAAGGUUUUCGGAUCGUAAAACUCUGUUGUUGGAGAAGAAUGUAUCUGAUAGUAACUGAUCAGGUAGUGACGGUAUCCAACCAGAAAGCCACGGCUAACUACGUG